UGUGUAGGCGGCCACGUAAGUCGGAUGUGAAAGCCCCAGGCUCAACCUGGGAAGUGCACUCGAUACUGCGUGGCUUGAGUAUCGGAGAGGUUGGUGGAAUUCUCGGUGUAGAGGUGAAAUUCGUAGAUAUCGAGAGGAACACCGGUGGCGAAGGCGGCCAACUGGACGAAUACUGACGCUGAGACACGAAAGCUGGGGAGCAAACA
rnacentral:rRNA from 1 species